UUUGCAUUGGCCAUUAAUUUUUAAGACCUACCUAGUAGCCUAGGACUCAUAACAUGGCAUAUUAUUAUGGAACUCUAUAAUACACUCAUAUGCACUACACAUGCACUGUACAUUAUUGUGAAGUGCUGUAAUGCACACAUACACUCAUUAGCCACAUGGGGGAGCUGGCUACCUGGCCAGCGCAGGGCCUGCCACAGCUUCCCUAAACAGCGUGUGAGGCAGCAGCCAGCAGAGCAAGAAGAGCAGAAAGAUG